GACGAACGCUGGCGGCGUGCUUAACACAUGCAAGUCGAACGGCAAGGCCCUUCUUUUGUGGGGUUCUCGAGUGGCGAACGGGUGAGUAACACGUGAGUAACUUGCCCUUGACUUUGGGAUAACUUCAGGAAACUGGGGUUAAUCCCGGAUAGGAGCACCUGCUGCAUGGGGGGGGUUGGAAAGCUUCGGCGGUUGGGGAUGGCCUGGCGGCUUAUCAGCUUGGUGGUGGGGUAGUGGCUUACCAAGGUUUUGACGGGUAGCCGGCCUGAGAGGGUGAGCGGCCACAUUGAGACUGAGAUACGGCCCAGAUUCGUACUGGAGGAAGCAGUGCGGAAUAUUGCACAAUGACUGGACGCCGGAUGAAGCAACGCCGCGUGCGGGAAGACAGCCUUCUGCUUGUAAACCGCCUUCGCCAGUGAACGGGCGGGGGUGACGGUAAUGGGUAAAAAAGCAACCGCUAAAUACAUG
rnacentral:rRNA from 1 species